AGUGAACGCUGGCGGUAGGCCUAACACAUGCAAGUCGAACGGCAGCACAGUAAGAGCUUGCUCUUACGGGUGGCGAGUGGCGGACGGGUGAGGAAUACAUCGGAAUCUACUUUUUCGUGGGGGAUAACGUAGGGAAACUUACGCUAAUACCGCAUACGACCUACGGGUGAAAGCAUGGGAUCUUCGGACCUUGCGCGAUUGAAUGAGCCGAUGUCGGAUUAGCUAGUUGGCGGGGUAAAGGCCCACCAAGGCGACGAUCCGUAGCUGGUCUGAGAGGAUGAUCAGCCACACUGGAACUGAGACACGGUCCAGACUCCUACGGGAGGCAGCAGUGGGGAAUAUUGGACAAUGGGCGAAAGCCUGAUCCAGCCAUACCGCGUGGGUGAAGAAGGCCUUCGGGUUGUAAAGCCCUUUUGUUGGGAAAGAAAAGCAGCAGGUUGAUACCCCGCUGUUCUGACGGUACCCAAAGAAUAAGCACCGGCUAACUUCGUG
rnacentral:rRNA from 1 species